UGAAAUAACCCAAUUGAUACCUAACCAUCCAUAAAUCCUGCACCAUAGUUUAGAAACAGUAGGACACCAAAGUAGAAGAUGAUUGCAAGUUUAUUCAGCCUUUAAACAGCAAUAGCAACCAUUUACAAUAAGUGUAAAUCUAUUUAUCCUUAAUUUUUACAAUAUCACUUUCAAUCCCCUCAAAAGCCCUUGCAUUCCUCUCUCUCCACACAACCUAAAAAAUGGUGAUCGGAGCUAAAAGCAGAUGUUUCUUUUUUUUACAUAAACCAACCCACGCCCACAAUUCAUUACUGACACUAUCCGCCAUAAUCCAGCUCAAUCCCAUAAUCCCAAACACAUAUUCCCAAAUGUAGUACACUGAUGGAUACCACAAUAACAAGUGGUUGCACGAUUCUGCAUCAGUUUUACACAUGUAACAUUUGUUUACAAGGAAAAUGCCUCUUUUUCUUCAGCACGUCAAUGAUUAAAAUCCUUUUUUUUUAUUGCUUCCCAAGUAAAGAAAACCAUUCUGGGCGGAGCUUUUGAUCUCCAAAUUUGCUUAAAAUGAGCUGACCAGACCCUAACAACUUCAUUUCUUACAAUAUAAUUGUAGCAUUUGUAGUAAUGCUGGCCUGGAUAGUUAAAAUUGAGAGAUAGUAAAUAAGUAAGUUGGUUAAUGUGUUUUUAAUCAAUGUGAGCCUCCCAUCUUUAGAAAGAAAGUUCCUUUUCCAUCCCGCAAGUCUUUUUUCAAACAUAUCAAUAAUGGGAUCCCAAGUUUUUGUAUCUUUAAACUUUGCCCCUGAUGGUAUCACAAUAUACUUGAUUGGUAAUUUGUUAAUAUUGCAUCCCAACACACUAGCCAACUCCCUUUCGUCUCCUCUCUCACCAAUUCUAACCAUUUCAAUUUUUCUCAAGUUUAUCCUCAAACCCGACACUACUUGGAAACAAGUGAGAAACUCUUCAUGACAUUCAAUUCGUUUGCUCUAUCCAUAAGUCUACUAAAGGCUUCCAUUACCAUAAUAAACAACAAUGGUGAUAAGGGAUCCCCUUGGCAAAGACCUCUAGAAGCCUUAAAGAAAGACGAGGACCACCAUUCACCAUCAUGGCAAAAGAGGUUGUAGGGAUGCAAUGCUUCAUCCAUUUCCUCCACCUACUCCCAACUCCAACCUCUCCAACAUAUAGAGAACAAAAUCCCAACACACCCUAUCCCCCACAUAAUUGUUUUUUCUUCUAAAGUUGGCCAAACUAUGGAAGUAUUUGGUGUUUCUAUUUCCUUCUUUUAACCAUUUUUUGCUAGCCUUUUGCCUCCAAGAGAUUGCUUGCAUAUUCCUAUUGGCAGUAAUUUCUUUUUUCAAAACCUAACUCCUCUCCCUAUCCCCCUCCCCUAACAAACCCUCGAUAUCCCUGGCCAUCCAAUUCUGCUAGUUCAUUUAAAUAGUCAUUCAUCAUCCUCUCAGCCUUGCCCUCCUCCCUAGCCCCCCUUUUAAUUUCUAACUUUAGAGACUUUAAUUUUGAAGCAAAAACAAAGCUGGCCGAACCCCUAACAGGAUCCAACUUCCACUUUUUUUCAACCAAAUGCUUGAAACCCAUCACCCUCAAUCAUUUAUUAUCCAAACGAAAAGGACCCGGCUCCCAAAUUAUGUCAUUUGGAUCAAUACCUAUGGGAAAAUGAUCCAAAAUGGGCAUUUGCAAAACUUUUUGGCUUAAAUUUGCAAGUUGCAUGAGCAACAUGUUAGAAAUUAAAAACCGGUCAUAACUCACAGGACACCACAAAAGAAGAUGGUUGCAUGAAUCCCCCGCAUUCAUACAUAACAUCUGUUUACAAGAAUAUGACCCCUGAUCAUCAACUUGUUAAUGUUCAAUAUACAUUCCUUACUAGUCUCCCAAGCAAAAAAAAAGCGAUUCUAGGGGGUUCUCUUGCUUGCCAUAUUUGUUUAGCCAGGAAUUUGAUGCUCAUUUCACACCUUUCCUUCCUAAAGUGGCUGUAAUAAGACUUUACGGAAAAUUUUCCAUUCUGGCUCAUCUUCCAUAUCACUUGGUCAGCUUCGUUGUCAAGCAGUUGGGACUCUAGAAAGUGUUAAAGAAUUUC
rnacentral:lncRNA from 1 species